rnacentral:rRNA from 1 species
AGAGUUUGAUCAUGGCUCAGGAUAAACGCUGGCGGCGUGCUUUAUGCAUGCAAGUCGAACGGUCUCGAUUUAUCGAGAUAGUGGCGAACGGGUGAGUAACGCGUAAGUAACCUGCCCCUAAGUAGAGGAUAACUCUGAGAAAUUAGAGCUAAUACUGUAUGUGGUGGUGGAGGUAAUGCUUCAUUACUAAAGCUUUAGGGCGCUUAGGGAGGGGCUUGCGUCCGAUUAGCUAGUUGGUAGGGUAAUGGUCUACCAAGGCGAUGAUCGGUAGCUGGUUUGAGAGGACAUUCAGCCACACUGGGACUGAGAUACGGCCCAGACUCCUACGGGAGGCAGCAGCAAGGAAUUUUGUGCAAUGGGCGAAAGCCUGACACAGCGACGCCGUGUGGGGGAUGAAGGCUUUCGGGUUGUAAACCCCUUUUCUCAGGGAAGAAUAAUGACGGUACCUGAGGAAUAAGUCGUGGCUAACUACGUGCCAGCAGCCGCGGUAAUACGUAGGCGGCAAGCGUUAUCCGGAUUUAUUGGGCGUAAAGAGGGCGUAGGCGGUUUUUCAAGUCGAUUGUAAAAAUCUCCCGGCUUAACUGGGGAGGAGUCAUUUCGAUACUGUUUA